rnacentral:rRNA from 1 species
CCUACGGGUGGCAGCAGUGAGGAAUAUUGGUCAAUGGACGAGAGUCUGAACCAGCCAAGUAGCGUGAAGGAUGACUGCCCUAUGGGUUGUAAACUUCUUUUAUAUGGGAAUAAAAUGUUCCACGUGUGGGAUUUUGUAUGUACCAUAUGAAUAAGGAUCGGCUAACUCCGUGCCAGCAGCCGCGGUAAUACGGAGGAUCCGAGCGUUAUCCGGAUUUAUUGGGUUUAAAGGGAGCGUAGGGUGAUUGUUAAGUCAGUUGUGAAAGUUUGCGGCUCAACCGUAAAAUUGCAGUUGAAACUGGCAGUCUUGAGUACAGUAGAGGUGGGCGGAAUUCGUGGUGUAGCGGUGAAAUUCUUAGAUAUCACGAAUAACUCCGAUUGCGAAGGCAGUUCACUGGACUGCAACUGACACUGAGGCUCGAAAGUGUGGGUAUCAAACAGGAUUAGAUACCCGUGUAGUC